UGAGUUAAAUACAACUCACAGGAUAGUUAAUGCAUUAAACAAAAAUGCAAAAAAAUGCAAUAAAAAUGUAUAAUGUCAAGGGUUAAGUAAAAAUGGGGAGUCAUGUCUGUCUCCCAAAUUAGUGGCCUUCUCUCAUUCAACUUUAUAAACCUAAGAUUCUAGCACAAGGUCUUAAACAUGGUAAAAACACGGUAAAAGUUUGUUAAAUGGUAAGUGGAAGUUUCCUGUAAUUAGUCACUCCCAAUUACUCCACAGUUACUAAUAUUUUGAAAAUGAGCUCUGCUUGGAAUGAAAUUUUUAUUUUGCUCAUCUAUCUAUAUACCUAGCAUAAAUGGCAGAAAUAUAGUGAGUUCUUGAGCAAUUGAAUUUUUAAUAUUAAUGUCAACAUCACCUUAUAAGCAAAUGAAGCCUUCUAAAUUAGGUGAAAGUGGUUGGAAACAACUUGCUUUCCUAAGGUGUGAAAAUAUAUCAUCUGUAUUUAUGUAGUGAAAAUUGUUCUUUAUGGGAAAGGCAAAGAUGAGCAAGUUUUCCAAGGCUUUAUCCCUCUGUAGAACACAUGAACACAUAUUAAUAAUCACCGAGCACAUUUUACUGAUUCUAAGCCCCAGUGACUGAUGCACGAUCUCUUUCACCCUCUUCCUGUUUACCCAUAAGUAUUUCUGGCAGUUUUCAUGAGAUAUCCUACCUAAGCUUGCAAAAGAGUCUAUUUGCAUUGGGCACUAUCAUUGCGUCAUAGUAACUCCUUUAUCAGACUGUCCCCCACUUUGCUGAGUGCUGCUACAUACCCUUGCAGGGCUGGCCCACGCCUCUAACACAGGGUUGUCUUGCUGCUUAAUUACCAGCCACAACAAUUCAAGGAAGAACUGUCCAGUGGCCUGCACAACUAUCUUCCUGGCUACAUUGGUUUUGUUUAAAAACUGCUCACCAUCAGGUAAAAUGGAAAACCUACAUCAUCCUAAGAAAACUUAUUUGGAGCUCUCUUCCUGAUAUUUUUCAUAAAAUGCCAUAUAUUGAAGGAGAAGUGGAACAGAGAAUGCAUAUGCUAGACAGAGGUGGUUCUUGUUAAUAAGGUCGAGAAUCCAAUGAAAGACACUGAAUGAUUAACAAUCACAUAUAUACAUCUUCAAGAUUUGAACCUAUAAAUUUCUUUAUUAUUUCCCAUAUUAUCACUUACAGUGGCUUACCAAACCAAAUGCUAGAAGUUUCUGUUUUUCAGGUUCUCCCAUCUCUCACUAUCUAGGCUUAUUUAAUCAUCUAUUAGUGUACUAUUAAUUUUGAAAAGUAAUACAUGUCUACGAUGAAAAAUUAAAACAGUAGAAAAGAAUACACAGUGAAAAGUGGGUCCUCUUUCAUAGGAACCCCCACCAGUGAGAUGCCGCUGUGGUCCGUUCAUGGGGUGUUCUCCAGAGAUGGUCUAUGCAUAUCAAGCAUAUGAAUAACCCUUCUUUUGGUAUAUAUAACCAAAUGUACACAAAUGGAGCUCACUGUAUACAACAUGCUACAUCUUGCUUGGUUCAUUGAACAAUAGAAGUUACUGAUUGUAAAUCCUAAAUCACUGACUCAUUCUUGUUAACAGUGUGUCCACUAUGUUAGAAUAUAAGGCCGUGCACGGUGGCUCAUGCCUGUAA